GGGGGGCUGGCGCAACGGUAGCGCGUUCGACUCCAGUAACGGAAAGUUAUCGAAAGGUUAUCUGUUCAAAUCAGGUGUCCCUCA